rnacentral:lncRNA from 1 species
GUGGGCCAGAUCAUCUGUGCUGUGGUUGCAGAAACAGACGUACAGGCAAAACGAGCAGCUGAAAAGAUAAAGCUCACCUAUGAAGAUCUGGAACCUGUAAUCUUCACGAUCAAGGAUGCCAUAAAACACAAUUCAUUCCUGUGCCGUGAAAAAAAAACUUGAAAAAGGAAACGUUGAGGAGGCCUUUGAAAAAGUCGACCAAAUUGUUGAAGAACUGGUCACCCCAUUCGUCUCAUCCUUGAUCGUGAAGAUGAUAUGCUAAUAACUGGAGGAAGGCAUCCAUUAUUUGGAAAAUAUAAAGUAGGAUUCAUGAACAACGGGCGGAUCAAAGCUCUAGACAUUGAGUGCUACAUUAACGGAGGAUGCACGCUGGAUGACUCUGAGCUGGUAACAGAAUUUCUAAUACUAAAGCUGGAAAAUGCAUAUAAAAUUCGCAACCUGUU